rnacentral:rRNA from 1 species
GUGUCAGCAGCCGCGGUAAUACAGAGGUCCCAAGCGUUGUUCGGAUUCACUGGGCGUAAAGGGUGCGUAGGUGGUUGGGUAAGUUUGAUGUGAAAGCUCUGGGCUCAACCCAGAAAUGGCAUUGAAUACUAUCUAACUAGAGGAGUGGAGGGGGGACUGGAAUACUUGGUGUAGCAGUGAAAUGCGUAGAUAUCAAGUGGAACACCAGUGGCGAAGGCGAGUCCCUGGACACUUCCUGACACUGAGGCACGAAAGCUAGGGGAGCAAACAGGAUUAGAUACCCUGGUAGUCC